AACCCGGGGCUGCAAUGACUUCGACGAGUCAACAUGAGCAGCGCUGGAAGUCUGACGAUGCAGAGCC
rnacentral:sRNA from 1 species